rnacentral:rRNA from 1 species
UAGGGAAUCUUCGGCAAUGGGGGCAACCCUGACCGAGCAACGCCGCGUGAGUGAAGAAGGUUUUCGGAUCGUAAAACUCUGUUGUUAGAGAAGAACACGAGUGAGAGUAACUGUUCAUUCGAUGACGGUAUCUAACCAGCAAGUCACGGCUAACUACGAGCCGG